UAUUUUGUUCUCACGUGAAUGUUUACAUGUGUCUGGUGUUUCCGAAACUAAUGCCGCUUUGAUUGGCACUUUUAUUGCUGCCAUAUUAUAGAC